CCUACCGGGUGGCUGCAGUGGGGAAUAUUGGACAAUGGGCGAAAGCCUGAUCCAGCCAUGCCGCGUGUGUGAAGAAGGCCUUCGGGUUGUAAAGCACUUUCAGUGGGGAAGAAAGCCUUGGGGCUAAUACCCUCGAGGAAGGACAUCACCCACAGAAGAAGCACCGGCUAACUCCGUGCCAGCAGCCGCGGUAAUACGGAGGGUGCGAGCGUUAAUCGGAAUUACUGGGCGUAAAGCGCGCGUAGGCGGUCUGAUAAGCCGGUUGUGAAAGCCCCGGGCUCAACCUGGGAACGGCAUCCGGAACUGUCAGGCUAGAGUGCAGGAGAGGAAGGUAGAAUUCCCGGUGUAGCGGUGAAAUGCGUAGAGAUCGGGAGGAAUACCAGUGGCGAAGGCGGUCUUCUGGACUGACACUGACGCUGAGGUGCGAAAGCGUGGGUAGCAAACAGGAUUAGAUACCCCGGUAGUC
rnacentral:rRNA from 1 species